UACCGUGUAAUUACACAGAAGCUGCGAAAAACUGAAAUCUAAGUGUGCGGAACGAGCCGAGCUUUUUACUCAAAUGUUAAUUAAAUGGCACGAGACAAUCUCUCGCAAAUGCAUGCUUCGUAUGUGCUAUUGAAAUCUUUUUCGAUCGUUUUCAGCUUAUCGAGGAUACGUUAGUCGUGUUUUGUAUCGCGCGUACACCAUCAAAAAAGCUCCCGAGAUCGAAGGCUGCUCUCUCUCGGGAAAUAACGAGUGCGCGCGAUGAAUCAUGCACCGCACAACGUGAAUGUGGCACCGGCACACCGAAUCACUCAACAAUAAGAUAUCGUAUCGAUUUCAAUCAAAAUCAUCGUUCAUUUCCAAGCGAUGAAUUUAUUGAAAAUCUCGAACUUCGUAGGAAAAAAUGUACUACAAUGACGUGAUAUUAUAUUGCAAGGGAGAACGGUUGAUCCGAUGAACAACAACUUGGAUUCGUAAUCUGCGGAUCCCGGGUUCGAAUUCCUCUCAAGACACCAAUGGAUAAUGAAAAUUUUUCAAGUGUUUCUGCUGUAAUCUCGGGUGUUUCGGACUCCAUCUUCAUAAAUUCAUGACCGCGCGCGUAUCACACAGAGACACACGUGUGCGGUCGGUGUACGGCCUCGGGGGCCUCCCGUGGACGGUUCUCAUCGUACGGAUGAUGGCCAUUUAGCCGUCAGCCUGGCUGGCGCACUAAUGUAUCACAGAAUCACAGUAGAGGAGGUGUCUGUUUGAGCACAUCUGGUGGCCGCGUUUUUAAGCGUGCUCGCACUACCACCCGACGGGAUCAACCAAGGUAUACCAGCUGUAUCGGCAAGAUUUUCUGCAGUUUCCCUUCGCCCUCGACAAACGCGAUACACACAGUGGAAACUGCCGAUUAAUCGAACAAUAAAAGAGAACUGCGGCGCGUUCGAGAGUUAAACGAUAGUCUUGGCGGUGGUGCUGGCAGAAGGCCGAUUAUAUAUAUGCUUGAACGAGAUGACUAUAUUGUAGGAGAAUAAUUGGGCGUACCUAAAAUAGAUUGUCGCCGGGUCUCAAAAGUUUCGCUCAUAGGCGCCUCGGGUACUUUACGUGUUCGUGCUUUUUAUAACGGGUGCAGGGGUGACUCGUCGGUGUCGUAAAAUCGAGGUGACGAGCAGCAAGUAUACAAUUUCACAGUGAUUUUGAUAGCCCGGUGAUUCGCGGAUGAACGUCAAGAAAAAAAUUGCUGCGUGCUCUACAUCCAAUAAACGAUACGUCCAAGUACAAACUGAGGUCGGGGAGGAGGAAAAAGCCGAUAAUGUGGACACCCGGCAGAAAAGAGCUCGGCUUUAGCUGAGAGACGAUGACACCGCUAUCUUAUCAAUAUUGAGAAUAAAAUCGUGCGUCUAUCGAGAAUACCAGUGGUAUACAAAAAUCCUUACUUAUUGGAUCGAAACGCCACGGGAACAUAAAAAAUUUUUGUAUUUUUUCAUUCCACGUUCUUAAACCGGAAGUUGGAUAGGGGAAAGAGGGAGGAAGAGAGAUGUAUGUAUAUAAAAGAGAGCGCGACGAACAGCCUGCGGGUAUGAUUAUUUUUAAAUGAGCAAAGAAAAAAGUUUGUGUGACCGUAGAUAAGCUAUCUUUGCUGAGCGAGUUUAAACGCGCUGGGCAUGUAUCUCACAUGUUGCAAGGGAGAGAGAGAAAGGUUGACUGAAAUAUUUCGUCUAUUCUGUGCGGUCCCGUAUCUAGCUUAACGAAAUUCACAACGCAAACGUUUAAUAGCGCUAUUGUUUAUCAUCAAGUCCGAUGCAUGCUCGUUUAAGUGGCAAGAAUUGAAUGAAACGAGAGACGAUGAAUGCGGCGACGGUAACGGGAUAUUGAAGAAAUACAUGAAUAAAAACAAUCUAAAAAAGUUAAUACUCAAGGCGGAUUGUGUUGUAUCGCGUUGCGGAAUCUCGAUAAUUCCUCAUAUAUGAAACCAACAAUUUAGUUUCGAGAAUAGAAUAUAUAUUCGUAAUAAGGACACUCACGUUUGCGACUGGACAGAUGAAAUUCGUUUUUCGUGCUUUUUAUUUGUAUUUUUUUUCUUCUUCAAAUUAAAUUCAGAUCCGUUUGCAAGUAACGUCGUUCUCUGUAGCAGCGCCGUCAACACUACGUGAGUAAAGUCGAACGAAUGUCGUUGAUACGAUGUACGGAUCUCGUUGUAUCAUCGGACGCGGUCUCCGGCGUAAUAAUGAUGAUACGGCCCUUUUACGAGACCACCGAUCGUACAACAGUUUAUAAAAUGAUGUACGAAAAAGGGCGCAAUCGAGACGAUUUAUUCACAGAUGGAGCGACGGCUCUUAGGCCCUUUUGAUUAUUAUGAAUUGUGCAUUGAACACGUUAUCGUGCUACUAUAUAGCGGAGUAUCCUCACAAAUAUAACACGCCGAUGAAUAAUGAGUCCUAUUAAGCGAGGGUAUAUCGUUGAGUCUUUAUGUACCGGAAUUGCCAUGCACUGUCGCCCCAUUUCUAUUAUACGGCUCGUAUCGCAGGAGCUAUCUAUCAUUGUUUCAUUGAAGCGGAUUGGAGAGUAUUGAGCGCCUGGCGUCGUAACGUAAACAACUGCUUUUUCAAAAUAAUGCGACGACAAAAAAUUUCUACAGCGUUAUCGCGAACAAGCAACAUCCUUCUUUUCGAAGCUCCAACUUUUCGCCGUUUUCCUCUCCUUUCUCGUCCGGGGACGUUAUACGCAAUAUGUACAUAUAUAUGAAUAUGUCGAAAUGAUCUUCUCGUUAACGUUCGACCAGCCUGCACCCGACGCGAACGUACUCACCGCGUAUACCCAUGGAGAGAUAUAGGGGAGUAUGGGGCAAAGUGGCCCACUUAAGGAAUUUAACGAGUUUUGUCGGGUAAUAUAUGAUCAUUUACUUAUUUUUAUGUCCCCAAACUGAUUCCACCUCCUUGUUGCUCGAAUUUUGAAAAAAAAAUUUUUUGGGGCAAAGUGGCCACCCCCUCAAAUGCGAUGAAAAUCGAUAAUUGUCACUUCUGGUUAAAUAGACGUUGGAAUUGACUGUUCUCGCAUGGAACAUUGAAGGAUGCGAUAAAACAAAAAGAAACGAGGCAUAGUAGGAACCCUCCUUCGAUGGGAUGAAAAAAAAAUUAGUCAGAAUACUUUGAUAAAUUUUGCCAAAUUUUUUUUCAUGCCGAAAAUGAAUAUCCAGCCAACUUUAUCAGAUAAUAAAUGAUCUUUCGACUAUUGUUGAGUCUUAAAACUCUUUGUUCAUCCUCUUUUUCCUCAUUUGCGUCGAGAAAAUUUUUUGGGGCAAAGUGGCCACCCUCUCAAAUGCGGUGAAAAUCGAUAAUUGUCACUUCUGGUUAAAUAGACGUUGUAAUAGACUGUUCCCGCAUGGAACAUUGAAGGCCGCGAUAAACCGAAAAGAAACGAGGCAUAGUAGGUACCCUCCUUCAAUGGGAUGAAAAAAGAAUUAGUCGGAAUACUUGGAUAAAUUUUGCCAUUACCAAUGGCAAAAGCCCGUUCUUAUCGGGGGCAAAUCGUGGGAAAACCGCCGUUGUCACGAGUCUGUCGUAUCGCGCAAAUCUAGUGAGUAAGAAAAAAGAGAUCAUGAAAAAAGAAAAAUUCUUGUCUGCGGCGGACGUUGCGUGUAUUUUCUGCGAUCAACUUCAUUCGCAUUCCUCCAAAGAUUGAAUUCGCUGCGAAACAUGCCUAAAAUGGGCGCACACCUUGUGUGCAGGUGUUGAUGAAGAUGAAGUCCAUUAUAAGUACGAUUUUUGUCAAUUAAAAUAAAAUAGACAUUUAUCAGUAA